UGUAAUUCGAUCAUACUUUUUCUGUUUUCUUGCAAUUGACAAUGACAUAAUGGGAAAAAUGUGCACCUUAAUUACGAGUAAAGGUACAGACAUCGACGAAAAUAUUGCUAACCAAAAUCAUGCUACCCGUACACGUACACCGAAAUCGGGGUAUCUUAACCUCUCUAUUAUUGUAUGUCGGCGCGUCGCUGUACUUCCGUUUUCAAUUUCCUUUCGCUUCCUCAUCUUUUAGUUGUAUUUCCUUCCGCUUCCUCGUCUUUCAGUUGUAUCGGUUUAUCUUUUAGUUGCGUCAGUUUACGUCAUUGAUGUAUUUGCACAUAACAUCAAUU
rnacentral:lncRNA from 1 species